rnacentral:rRNA from 1 species
UACGGAGGGAGCUAGCGUUGUUCGGAAUUACUGGGCGUAAAGCGCGCGUAGGCGGCUUUGUAAGUUAGAGGUGAAAGCCCGGGGCUCAACUCCGGAACUGCCUUUAAGACUGCAUCGCUUGAAUCCGGGAGAGGCGAGUGGAAUUCCGAGUGUAGAGGUGAAAUUCGUAGAUAUUCGGAAGAACACCAGUGGCGAAGGCGGCCCACUGGACCGGUAUUGACGCUGAGGUGCGAAAGCGUGGGGAGCAAACAGG